GGUCUGCUAGCUCAGUUGGUUAGAGCGUCGUACUAAUAUUCUAGCGAUAGAAUCUGAGUAAUGCGAAGGUCAUGAGUUCGACCCUCAUGUGGACCA